rnacentral:rRNA from 1 species
GACGAACGCUGGCGGCGUGCCUAAUACAUGCAAGUUGAGCGCUGAAGGUUGGUACUUGUACCGACUGGAUGAGCAGCGAACGGGUGAGUAACGCGUGGGGAAUCUGCCUUUGAGCGGGGGACAACAUUUGGAAACGAAUACUAAUACCGCAUAAAAACUUUAAACACAAGUUUUAGGUUUGAAAGAUGCAAUUGCAUCACUCAAAGAUGAUCCCGCGUUGUAUUAGCUAGUUGGUGAGGUAAAGGCUCACCAAGGCGAUGAUACAUAGCCGACCUGAGAGGGUGAUCGGCCACAUUGGGACUGAGACACGGCCCAAACUCCUACGGGAGGCAGCAGUAGGGAAUCUUCGGCAAUAGACGAAAGUCUGACCGAGCAACGCCGCGUGAAUGAAGAAGGUUUUCGGAUCGUAAAACUCUGUUGGUAGAGAAGAACGUUGGUGAGAGUGGAAAGCUCAUCAAGUGACGGUAACUACCCAGAAAGGGACGGCUAACUACGUG